UUUGACGUUAGCGGCGGACGGGUGAGUAACACGUGGAUAACCUACCUAUAAGACUGGGAUAACUUCGGGAAACCGGAGCUAAUACCGGAUAACAUAUUGAACCGCAUGGUUCAAUAGUGAAAGGCGGCUUUGCUGUCACUUAUAGAUGGAUCCGCGCCGUAUUAGCUAGUUGGUAAGGUAACGGCUUACCAAGGCAACGAUACGUAGCCGACCUGAGAGGGUGAUCGGCCACACUGGAACUGAGACACGGUCCAGACUCCUACGGGAGGCAGCAGUAGGGAAUCUUCCGCAAUGGGCGAAAGCCUGACGGAGCAACGCCGCGUGAGUGAUGAAGGUCUUCGGAUCGUAAAACUCUGUUAUCAGGGAAGAACAAAUGUGUAAGUAACUGUGCACAUCUUGACGGUACCUGAUCAGAAAGCCACGGCUAACUACGUG
rnacentral:rRNA from 1 species